UAAUAAUAAUAAUAAUAAUAAUAAUAAUAGAUUUAUUGCCAUCAAUAAAUAAUACAUGGCGCGUCAUAUAAUUAUGUACAUGUAAGUGUAUAUGGGACAAUACAUACAUUUAUUUUAAAUCUGGAGGGUUAUCCAGGAACUCUUGGAUAGAAUAAUAACUCAUUUCUAAUAGUGCGUCCUUUACCUUCUUCUCAAACAGAGCCGGAGCUAGUCUCUUCAUCGGGUCCUGAAGCUUGUUAUAAAGCUUCGGGCCCCAAUGGUCAAUGCUGUGCUGUGACACUUUAAGCCGAUGGUACGGUGUUGAGAGCGCGUCAGCGUGUCUUGUGUUAUGCUCGUGAUAUGAGCCAUUCUUGAUGAACUCGUGGAGGUGGUUGUGGACGUACCUCAGACAGCUCAAUAUGUACGCGGAAGGGAUGGUAAGAAUUUGUUGUUGUUUGAAGGCUGGGCGGCAGCUUUCCCGAUAGUUCAUUUGGCACAGGAUUCUGAUUGCUUUCUUUUGCAGGACGAAGAUCUUGUCAGCAUCUGAUGAAGUACCCCAUAGAAGUAUACCAUAGGUGGCUUUGCUGUGGAAGUUAGCAAAGUAUGUCACCCUUGCAGCUUGGGGAGUUGAGAUAUUCUUGAUUCUUCUGAUACUGAAUAAAGCUGAUGCUAGGUUUUUGCAGGUUUCCUGAAUGUGGUCCUUCCAAGAUGCUUUGCUAUUUAGGUAAAAUCCCAAGAAUUUUACCGAUGUGACGUUGGUGGGUUUUGAAGAUAUAAAUAGUUCCUGAGUCUUGUCUCCAUUGAGUUUCAGUUUAUUUGCUGUGAACCAUUCAUUGGCAUCUUCAAGGAUUUUUCUCAUUUUUGGUUUUAGCGUAUCCUCUGUUUCUUCUUUGAUGCAGAAGGAAGUGUCGUCCGCAUAUAGACACUGUCCAUCCACUCUCAUAUUGAUAGGCAAGUCAUUUACAUAGAUUAUAAAUAGCAGUGGACCGAGGAUUGAUCCCUGGGGCACUCCACACCUUGUUGGCAGAGGCUUUGACCAUUUUUCAUUCCAUUUUACUAUCUGGGUUCUAUUUUCAAGGGAAGAAUUUGUCAAAGGCAGCUGUCAGAGUUGUAUGGAAGACAGUGUAGGCCUCUUUUGCAUUACGGUGUUUGAAGACACGAGCCCACUCAAUUCCGGUUAAGUACUCCUUAAAGUAGUUCUUGCACUGGGUUCUUAAUCUUCAGGACUUGACAGUAGUGAUCAGACAUGCACCAACUUUUUGUCUCUUUUGAGAAGAUUUCUUCUAUGUUAAUAUUUGAAAAUAUAUUAUCUAUGCAGCUAGAAGAAGUUUCAGUUGUUCUAGAUGCCUCUCUCAUUAGUGGUUGCAUACCAUAUGUUGUGAAAGUUUCGAUUAAUAAAGAUUGUUCGACGCCAUCCUUGAGAAUAUUGGUGUUAAAGUCCCCAGCGACAAUGUAUCGUCUAGAGUGGUUCCUUUGUGUCAGGUUUUCUAGUGCUUCAUUAAUUUUAUCUAUGAAGUGCUUGAAGUUCUGAUUUGGAGAUCGAUAUACCGCCAUUAUUAUUAAGUUUUUUGAAGGAAUCUCAGCAGCUGAGAUUUCUGCAGUGAAUUCUUCACAUAGGGGUCUAAUGCCUUCAAUAUUUUUUGCGGAAAUACCCUCCCUUGUUGCGAUUAAGGAUCCGCCAUGCUGGUUAAGUGAUCUGCUAAAGUGGCUUAUAAUAUUAUAUCCUGGGAUGGUUAAGCUUUCCAGGGUGUUGUCCUUGCACCAGUGCUCAGUGAUAAUUACAAUGUCUACUUCGUCUUCUGUUAACUGUAUAGUCAGUGCGUCUAUUUUUUUCGAUAGUGAUUGUAUGUUAUAGUUUAUUAUUGUGGUUAGGUUUUCAAAACCUACCGAUUUGUUGGGGUCUUCGAAAAAACUUGAACCUCUGUAUGGUUAGGUUUUCGGGCCACGACUCAGGUUUCAUCAUUUCUUCUACUAAUUCAAAUCGUAGUCCAACUUUAAAGGAUUUAUUUUGACUCUUAUUGUUGAUGUGCUUGGGUAGUUCUUCCACGGUGAAAUGUUCAUCAGGAUGUAGUUGUUUGAGAUAAUUUGAUACUUUAUCUUCUGUCGUAGUACUUGUUGCACGGCCAACAAACAGCCAUCCCAUCUUACGGGCGCCUCUGAAGCCGUCAGCCUCAUCUACUCUAGCUGUCCCUGUGAUUACGUCCUGUUUCGAUUUUUUUGCAACCUUUGUCCUGAUGUCUUUUUCUUUUUCGUCGUUUCGUUGGUUUAAUGAUUGGCUUGUUUCGGGUUUUUUGUCCUGGACUGUGUUACCCUCCUUGUCAACUUGUUUUUUUUGCUUGUUGUUUUCUAUCACCCUGUCAGAUGGCUUGUUACUUUUUUUCUGAGCUUUUACGUUCGUCAGGUUUUCUCUUUCUUGGUUUGUGAUGACAUCUGUGUGUCCUUUGUUGGAUCUUGUUAUUGGUUUGGACGAUUUGGUUUGUGACUCCGCUAACAGCUGAUCUAACCUUUGUAUUGUUCCGUUUUGAUUUUGUAUUUGUUUCAGACAGUCGUCAAUUUUUCCCUUAAGGUUACUUACAAUAUCUAUAAGGUGUCUCAUCGCUUCCUCUUGCGAGGGUCUGAUUCUGCAGGAGUCGCACACCCAUUUGAUAUUUUCCUUGUAGUUAUCUAGUACCUUGAUUUCUCCAGACGUGUGUCGUGGUCGCCAUUUU